AAAAAAAAAAAAAAAAAAUGAAUGAUUUAGAAAGCAGUAAAAACAAUUUUCCUAAGUAUAAGUUAAUAAAACUCAUAGGAAAAGGAACAUUUGGUAGAGUCUAUUAUGCAAUUGAUAUGUAUACUCAAGAACCAGUUGCAAUAAAAAGAUCCCCCAAAUGGAGAAAUAAAGUGUCAAGAGAAGUUGAUUUAUUAAAAAAGAUGCAAAACAGUUCAAAUAUAAUAGAGGUAAAAUCUAUAUUUUAUACAACUAC